rnacentral:rRNA from 1 species
AGAGUUUGAUCCUGGCUCAGGAUGAACGCUGGCGGCGUGCUUAACACAUGCAAGUCGAACGAUGAUCCCAGCUUGCUGGGGGAUUAGUGGCGAACGGGUGAGUAACACGUGAGUAACCUGCCCUUGACUCUGGGAUAAGCCUGGGAAACUGGGUCUAAUACCGGAUAUGACCGCUCUGACGCAUGUCAGGUGGUGGAAAGCUUUUGUGGUUUUGGAUGGACUCGCGGCCUAUCAGCUUGUUGGUGGGGUAAUGGCCUACCAAGGCGACGACGGGUAGCCGGCCUGAGAGGGUGACCGGCCACACUGGGACUGAGACACGGCCCAGACUCCUACGGGAGGCAGCAGUGGGGAAUAUUGCACAAUGGGCGCAAGCCUGAUGCAGCGACGCCGCGUGAGGGAUGACGGCCUUCGGGUUGUAAACCUCUUUCAGUAGGGAAGAAGCGAAAGUGACGGUACCUGCAGAAGAAGCGCCGGCUAACUACGUGCCAGCAGCCGCGGUAAUACGUAGGGCGCAAGCGUUAUCCGGAAUUAUUGGGCGUAAAGAGCUCGUAGGCGGUUUGUCGCGUCUGCUGUGAAAGACCGGGGCUCAACUCCGGUUCUGCAGUGGGUACGGGCAGACUAGAGUGAUGUAGGGGAGACUGGAAUUCCUGGUGUAGCGGUGAAAUGCGCAGAUAUCAGGAGGAACACCGAUGGCGAAGGCAGGUCUCUGGGCAUUAACUGACGCUGAGGAGCGAAAGCAUGGGGAGCGAACAGGAUUAGAUACCCUGGUAGUCCAUGCCGUAAACGUUGGGCACUAGGUGUGGGGGACAUUCCACGUUUUCCGCGCCGUAGCUAACGCAUUAAGUGCCCCGCCUGGGGAGUACGGCCGCAAGGCUAAAACUCAAAGGAAUUGACGG